rnacentral:antisense_RNA from 1 species
UGCAAGCGGGGAACCUUGAGCUACCUACGCCAGCGUUCUGGAUUAUUUUCCAAAUUUGGUUUCUGAUAAUCUGAGAAAGCUAUGUGCUCAGUAAGAGCAGGGACGUUGUUUUAUCAAACUUUGAUCUUUCAUAAGGCACACAGUGGGCAUUCAACAAACUUGUGUAAACUUGGAAUCAGAUUUAGCCCAGGCCGGUGCGGUGGCUCCUGCCUGUAAUCCCAGCACUUUGGGAAGCCGAGGAGGGCGGAUCGCUUGAACUCAGGUGUUCGAGACCAGCCUGAGCAACAUAGCGAGGCUCCGUCUCUACAAAAAAUACAAACACUAGUCGGCCCCGUGGUGCAGACCUGUAGUCCCAGCUACUGAAGAGGCUGAGGUGGGAGGAUCCCCUGAGGCCGGGCGGUCGAGGCUGCAGUGAGCUGAGAUCGGGCCUCUCCAUUCCAGCCUGGGUGACAAAAAAUCCAGCUAAGUAAAAAUUGGCAAGAUGCUGUUACAAGAUCCUGUGACAAGAUUCUGUGAUCAAGACAAAGUUUUGCCCCCAAAGGACUUGAGGCCAUCUGGGAAUUCCAUGUUUGACAGAAGCGCUGACAGCAUAACCAAGCAAACAAGAAGGUAUUCAGGGACGCUGAAACGGAUCUUCAAAGAAGACUCAGUGGGUGAUUUUUAAUUUCUGUGUGGUAUUAUAGAGCUUAAUGCAGAACAUACCAAAACCUUGGAGAGGUAAUGAUAGGGUCAUGCAUUUCAUAAGGCAGAGUAAUGCCCUGCAACAACAAAAUAAAAGUCAAAAAGUUCUA